rnacentral:rRNA from 1 species
UACGUAGGGUGCGAGCGUUGUCCGGAAUUAUUGGGCGUAAAGAGCCUGUAGGCGGUUUGUCGCGUCUGCUGUGAAAAUCCGGGGCUCAACCCCGGACUUGCAGUGGGUACGGGCAGACUGGAGUGUGGUAGGGGAGACUGGAAUUCCUGGUGUAGCGGUGGAAUGCGCAGAUAUCGGGAAGAACACCCGUGGCGAAGGCGGCUCUCUGGGACGGUACUGACGCUGAGACGCGAAAGCGUGGGGAGCGAACAGG